rnacentral:lncRNA from 1 species
CAAGUUUAGCAUUAAACAAAAUCAUUUUCUCUCUCUUCCUCCCCUCUCAUUUUUCGUCCAUUUCUCUCUCCCUCUCUACUCUCACUAUUUUCUUUUCAAUCCAUCAUGGAAGAACACUCCAAAGCUUCUAAACACAUAGAUCCACCAUCACCAUUCCUAGAGCUAGCCUUCAAUCACCAAGAAUCAAGAGAAUGAUCAAGCUAGAGUUUCCAAACCAAAGUGGAUCAAAGAGUUCGCCAUUUUCUUAAAUAUUGAGGGUAAGUGGAUCAACCUUAAGAUUCCUUAAAUCUACCUCCAUUUCUUGAUGUUUGAUGGAGAAACAGAAAAUCAAACCCCUCCCUCAUUUCUCUAAUUUUCGAGAUUUGGGGGUAUUUUUACCCUUCAAAUAUUUUCACUUUCUUUUCUAAAAUCGAGGCAAUAAUUAUGUAAUUGAGAACCUAUUGAGUUGAUAUCCAUGAGUUUUUAAAAGGAUUAGAAAGGAUUUUGAAUUUUCAAAGAGUUUAGUUUGCUAAAAUUUGGGAAGUUUUGAUUGGUGAUGAGAUUUGAUGAAUUGAUGUCUUAUUCAUGCUAUUAAAUGACUCAAUUUGAUUAAUCUAAGGUUGAGUUAAUGAUUUAUGCAUGUUUGUAAAUUUUCAAAAAGUUUAGUUAGAUAUAAAAUAGGGCUUUUUGAUUUAUGUGCUAAUUAUUUGAAUUGGCUAAGGAUAAUUGAUAAUAAGCAUGAUAGUAAUGAUAGUUAAAGGUUAAUUUCGCUAAUUGUUGAUUAUAUGUGAAAUUGCUUGAGUUUAGUUUACUAGGAUUUGGGUAUUUUUGAAUUAUGAGAUCAAUGUUUGGAUUAUGAGCUUAUCUAAUGAUUUAUGAUGGACUAUGGCAUGAUUAAAUUGAGAAUUUUGAAUGAAAUGAAAAGUGUUAGUUUGAGGAAGAAGAUGACAUAUAUGUGUAUCUAUAUGUGAUCUUGUCUUAUGAUGUUGAUUUGUGCUAAUUGGUAACCUAGGAUGUUAGAUCUAUGAUUUGAUCAAUAGGUUAUACAUGAUUAGUGAUAUUUUCAAAAGAAUUAGUUUAAUAAAAACUAGGGUUAUUAAUAAAUCUAUGUGUUAAUUGUGUGAAAUCAGUUAAGUAUAUAAUCUUGAGCAUUUAAAGAGUUCGAGAUGAGAUUUUGGUGAAUUUCGUAGGCCUACUGACCUACUAUGAUCGACGGUUUGUAGAUGUAUAAUAGCUUUGAAACUUUUAUAGCAAGUCCCUACAUGAGUCUUGAGUACCAUGGUAAAAUUUCAAGCCAUUCCAACUUCGUUUGAUAUUUCUUUAAAAUGCAAAACCCAAACUGCACAUUACUACCGAGAAUUUCAGAGAACAGGGGAAAGAGUCAUUCAUUUCAGUAGCUUCCUGUGUGAUCUAUAUUUCCAAAUUUUUAUGGUAUUAACCUUAUUGUGUUACCUAGAUAUUCACCAAAGUUGAGCCCAAUUUGACAACGUUUACUAUUUUUAAAAAAUCCAAGCUUUCGAUUUCUCAAAACUGCCGAAUAUGGUAGAUCGUGGUAAAAACGUCAUAUCUCUCAAACCACUUGGAGUUUUCGACUCUACUUUUUUUAUAUGAAACUAGACUCGAAGAUCUUUCUUUCGGUAUGAGUCUCGAGUCCAGGAAAUGUCGGAGUCAGAACAGAUUAAAUUUUGAAGUUGAAUCAGUGUAAAAACAGAGCAUGUUUUAAUGAUGUUUGAUUGUGAUUCUUAUGUGCCUUAUGUGUUGUGUUGCCUAUGUGUUUGAAUGAGAUUAGACGAGCCUUAUAUGAGAGAUAAAUCGAGACUUAGAACCAUGAUUUUCUUGAAACCUAUCCUUGAACUAAAAUUAAAUCUCAGGCCAUAUUUUUUUUUUGAAGCGGAGAUAUGCUCAUAAAUCAUGAAAUAUCAAAAGUUACAAUUAGGGCUGUCGAUCGGUUCGGGUUCGGUUACCCGUACCCGAAUUUUCGGUUACCCGAACCCGAAAUUGUCAAAUUUCAAUAACCGUUCCCGAACCGUUUUAGAAGUUCGGUUACCCAAUACCCGCUUCGGUUAACCAAUUGGGUUAUUUGGGUAUCCGAAAUACCCAUUUAAAAAAUAAAAUUCAAAUAAUUUUUGCUCUAUCUACUCUAAAAGAAAUUACAAAUAUAUAUUAUAUAUAUAUUAAAUAAUUUACAAAUAUAUAAUAUAUAUGUAAAUUUACAAAUAUAUAAUAUAUAUAUUUGUAAAUAUAUUAUAAUAUAUAUGUAAAUUAUUUGUAAAUUUACAAAUAUAAUAUAUUUGUAAAUAUAUAAUAUAUAUUAUAUAUAUAAUAUAUUUGUAAAUUUACCAAUAUAUAUUAUAAAUUUACAAAUUUAUAAUAUAUUUGUAAAUAUAUAAUAUAUAUGUAAAUUUACAAAUAUAUAAUAUAUAUGUAAAUUUACAAUAUAUUAUUAUAAUUUACAAAUAUAUAUAUAUAUUAAAUAAUUUACAAAUAUAUUUAUAUAUUAAUUUACAAAUAUAUAAUAUAUUAUAUAUGAUAUAUUGAUAAUAUAUAUAUUAAAUAAUUAAUAAAAUAAUUUUCGGUUAUUCGGUUAACCCGAUCGGUUUUUCGGGUUAACCGAUAACCGAAAUUUCCAAAAAAACAAUAACCGAAACCGAUCCAUUACCCGAAAUUUUCGGUUAUUGGAUACCCAAACCUGGGAAUUUCGGUUCGGUUAAUUGGAUACCCAAAAUCCGAUAACCAUUUAGACAGCCCUAGAUAAGAGCAUGAGUUAAGGCUUUAUGAGUAUGGAUUUUAAAAGGAUUAAAAUGUUUUAAAUUAAUUCCAUUUUAAUGGAGUUUAAAAUGCUUAUUUAAGUCAUUUAUAAAUGAAUAAUGGAAUUUCGUAUUUAUUUACAUGGAAAUGAAAUGUAUAGAAUGUUACAAGAUGGUGCAUGAUUAUUAUUUUUUAUGUGAACAUGUGAAUUUCUAAAUGAUAUUAAGUUUAAGGAUGUUGAAUUCUUUUAUUUCGUUUGUUAUGUGGUUACGUGAUAUUAUGUGGUUAGUCGAUGUUAUGUUGGUUUUUGAUUGUUUUAAUCGAAACGACUUAUGGAUGCUAGAACCCUAAAACACUAAAAGAUACCCUAAGCAUGUAGAAUUAGACUUUGUCUUGUGACAAUUUUCUUCACGAACUUACCGACUCUUCAUCAAUAAAGGUCCGGGCGACAGGAAGUGAAGCCGAAGAAUAAGCGACUCCACGCUAGCUUAAGAACGUUUGAGGUGGGCAUUACUUUUACUAUACGUAUAUAGAGAUCCCCUGCGUGUCGUAGGCCUCUUAUACGAAUAUAUGCAUGAGAUGAUUUUAACUGUUAAUUUCAGUUUAUUAUUAUGCCCAAAUGAUAAAUGACUCUUAUGAAAUGAAAAUGAAAUGUUUAUGAAAUGAUUGACUGCCAAAAAUGUUUAUGUUUUUAUAUGUAUCCUAUCUGUGUUGGUUCGCCAACUUUAAAGGAAAUCCAAUUGGGAUCCUAUGCUAGACAAAGGUCGCUAGCUAGGGUUAACAUGUACACUCAUGGAGACCGCGAGUCGCUUGCGACCGGUCUUGGCGUCCGUGGUAAGGAGGCCUCCUUCCCGGCGCGUGACAGAAAGGAACAGAUAUGGAUCAUAUGAAGGAAAAUGAUCGGCCGAUAGACUUUAUGAAGGUAAAAGAAAUAUUUUUAGUAAGCGCAGGUCUUUCAAGAAAACCCCUGUGUGUUACUGUUUGGCAGUACAAUUUAUAUAUGUAUGCAUGUUGUAUUUUCGGCUAUGCCACUGAGUAUUUUUAUACUCAGCCCUGCAUGUAUUUCUAAAUGUGCAGGUUGAGCACGCGAUGGAAUGGAUUGGUGUUGAGCGGAUUUCCCUUUUGAUGGUUAUGUAAUGAAACCUUGAGUAUGCAUCUCCAUAUGCAUAACUCACACGUUUUUCCGCUGCAAACACUCUGAAAUUAUUAUCGUAUUGUGGAACUUAUUACUCUUUCAUUUUGAUUAACUUUCAUUUGGGGUCUAGUCGCUAUGGCAGGCUCGUUUGUAAAUUACCCAAGC